rnacentral:ncRNA from 1 species
AAAAGCAGGUGCCUUACUUAAAGGCUUAAUAGGGAAGUUCGGUGUAAUUCCGACGCGGUCCCGCCGCUGUAAUGCUGAGUAACUCUCAUAAUGCCACUGAUCUUCGGGAAGGCGAGAGAAAUGAUGAAGCAAAGCCAGAAUAACUGCCUGUUUUUU